ACAGCAACCUUACCAGCCCCUCCAGCUUAGAGGUGGCAGUGGCUCUCUGCGGCUGCGAUUUCUUUCUCGGAGCGUCCUCCCCAUCCCGUUCGGCCUCUGCCUCCACCGUCGUCUCUGUAACCCGUUCCCUGUGGGAGAGUCUCUGUUGCGGUGUUCAGGGGUUUCGGUUUUCUGGCUGAACAGUGAUUAACGCGAGGGAAGGCGCUGACGGCAAGGUGGCAGGAAGAACAUUCCAACACAGACCACAACACCUAUGGACCUGGAAAACAUUGUGCUCAGUGAAAGAAGCCAGACACAGAAGGACAAUGUUGUAUGAGGUCUUAUUCUGUUGCCCAGGCUGGACUGCAGUGGUGCAAUCCUAGCUCACUGCAGCUUCGACCUCCCGUGCUCAAGUGAUUUUCCCACCUCAGCCUCCCGAGUAGCUGGGACUACAGGGACACAUUCCAGCAAAAAGACACAAAGUGACAGAAUGGCUGCCUUUGAGUGGGGGUGAGAAGAGGUGGAUGGCAGGUACCAGAAGAGAAGGGAAUAAAUAUAUGAAGAAAUACAACCCCCUCGGGCAGUGCCUGGCACAGCAUAAAUGCCCAGGAAAAAGAGGCCCAGUUGCUUACGUUCCCGGCGACAGGGCCGGGACCAGCGCCGGCUUCCUGGUGAAGGAGGCCACCCUUUCCUCUUGAGGGGUCUGAGUAUGCAUGUCAGCACCCGGUGGGCACCCAGCACCCAGCUGACCAGGGGCCUUCACCUCUGUGGGGGUUACCGGCCUGGCCCUGAGAACUGGAUGAAAGCUGGAAUAAUUCUUUCUGUAAUAAAGCAAACGCAACCACGU
ensembl:lncRNA LINC01273 long intergenic non-protein coding RNA 1273